GGUCAGACAAGCAGCACUUUUCAAUAAUUGAUGAUGCUGAGUUUCUAAGUAAAACCAAAAAUGACAGAUGAGUUAACAGAAGACAAGAGCAUAAAAGUCUGUCCAGUUUCUUUCCUCUGCAGACUAAAGAGAAAUGAGUGAUUAAAGUCCAAGCUUGGGAACUGUAGCACUAAGGUUACAGCUCAGAUUCCAUUAAAAGAAAAGAAAAGAAAAGAAAAGAAAAGAAAAGAAAAGAAAAGAAAAGAAAAGAAAAGAAAAGAAGAAAGAAAGAAAGAAAGAAAGAAAGAAAGAAAGAAAGAAAGAAAGAAAAGAAGAAAGAAAGAAAGAAAGAAAGAAAGAAAGAAAGAAAGAAAGAAAGAAAGAAAGAAAGAAAGAAAGAAAGAAAGAAAGAAUCUUGCACGGCAAGAGAAAGAGGUGAGAUGGUAAAAUUUUUGUACAGGUGUCUGGAAUCAAUAGACUACUAUAGGGUGAUAUAAAGACUGAUAUUCCAACAAGAUGGAGGUUCUGAAAACUGUUUCUCAACAUGGAGGAAGAAGGAAGCAUAUCAGCNUCUGCAGUUGCCCUGCGAGUGUCUUCUUGGAGCUUACUGGUAUGUCGUUCCUGGGGUUGACUAU
rnacentral:lncRNA from 1 species